rnacentral:rRNA from 1 species
AACGAACGCUGGCGGCAUGCCUAACACAUGCAAGUCGAACGAAGCCUUCGGGCUUAGUGGCGCACGGGUGCGUAACGCGUGGGAAUCUGCCCUUGGGUUCGGAAUAACAGUUAGAAAUGACUGCUAAUACCGGAUGAUGUCUUCGGACCAAAGAUUUAUCGCCCAAGGAUGAGCCCGCGUAGGAUUAGGUAGUUGGUGGGGUAAUGGCCCACCAAGCCGACGAUCCUUAGCUGGUCCGAGAGGAUGAGCAGCCACACUGGGACUGAGACACGGGCCAGGCUCCGACGGGAGGCAGCAGGGGGGAAUAUUGGACAAUGGGCGAAAGCCUGAUCCAGCAAUGCCGCGUGAGUGAUGAAGGCCUUAGGGUUGUAAAGCUCUUUUACCAGGGAUGAUAAUGACAGUACCUGGAGAAUAAGCUCCGGCUAACUCCGUGCCAGCCGCCGCAGUAACAC